CCAGUGCGUAGCCCACGGCAUGUAGUGAGUUUACUAUGCCAUUAUGACAAGAACUAAGGGCCCCGCGAUCUUUUGAGACCCCACAGUGUCCGCCCCACAUGUUUCCGCAUAACUUUAGUUGGCAAGGAAACAUAUUAAAAUCAGUUUCUGUAGUUGAAGCCGAAAGCCAAGACCGCAGUUAUCUCCUUGUAGAAAAGCUGAGGCACACCACUUACGAGCAACUUUCACUCAACUCUAACUUGUUGCUUAUGCAAAAGCUGAGGCACACCACUUUCGAGCAACUUUCACUCAACUCUAACUCUAUACUUCUCGCUUAUGCAAUAAAAUUGGCUCGUAGCAAGCACACAAUUUUCUUACUAUAGUUUUAAAUCUUAGCAUCAAAUGUGGUAUAACAACUGCCUAAAUAGACAAAACACUUCUCGACGUUUCGACCUGAGUGCCUUCGUCAAUAUUUAAUGUUAAGUUGUUUGAAGACGCUGCAACGCUGCUCCUUGGUUAUAUUAGUUUUAAAUC